rnacentral:miRNA from 1 species
CGUGAAUUUCCUGAUGCCUUAG